rnacentral:rRNA from 1 species
CCUACGGGAGGCAGCAGUGAGGAAUAUUGGUCAAUGGACGAGAGUCUGAACCAGCCAAGUAGCGUGAAGGAUGACUGCCCUAUGGGUUGUAAACUUCUUUUAUAUGGGAAUAAAACGUUCCACGUGUGGGAUUUUGUAUGUACCAUAUGAAUAAGGAUCGGCUAACUCCGUGCCAGCAGCCGCGGUAAUACGGAGGAUCCGAGCGUUAUCCGGAUUUAUUGGGUUUAAAGGGAGCGUAGGUGGAAUGUUAAGUCAGUUGUGAAAGUUUGCGGCUCAACCGUAAAAUUGCAGUUGAAACUGGCAGUCUUGAGUACAGUAGAGGUGAGCGGAAUUCGUGGUGUAGCGGUGAAAUGCUUAGAUAUCACGAAGAACUCCGAUUGCGAAGGCAGUUCACUGGACUGCAACUGACACUGAGGCUCGAAAGUGUGGGUAUCAAACAGGAUUAGAUACCCGGGUAGUC